rnacentral:tRNA from 1 species
GAAGGUACAGCUCAAUUGGCAGAGUGCAUGCUUAGCAUGCAUGAGGUCCUGGGUUCAACCCCAGUACUCCCU